UGGGGAAUAUUGCACAAUGGGCGCAAGCCUGAUGCAGCCAUGCCGCGUGUAUGAAGAAGGACUUCGGGUUGUAAAGUACUUUCAGCGGGGAGGAAGGGAGUAAAGUUAAUACCUUUGCUCAUUGACGUUACCCGCAGAAGAAGCACCGGCUAACUCCGUGCCAGCAGCCGCGGUAAUACGGAGGGUGCAAGCGUUAAUCGGAAUUACUGGGCGUAAAGCGCACGCAGGCGGUUUGUUAAGUCAGAUGUGAAAUCCCCGGGCUCAACCUGGGAACUGCAUCGGAUACUGGCAAGCUUGAGUCUCGUAGAGGGGGGUAGAAUUCCAGGUGUAGCGGUGAAAUGCGUAGAGAUCUGGAGGAAUACCGGUGGCGAAGGCGGCCCCCUGGACGAAGACUGACGCUCAGGUGCGAAAGCGUGGGGAGCAAACAGG
rnacentral:rRNA from 1 species